rnacentral:rRNA from 1 species
GACCGUGCAAAGGUAGCGCAAUCACUUGUCCUUUAAAUGAGGACCUGUAUGAAUGGCAUCACGAGGGCUUAGCUGUCUCCCUUAUCCCGUCAAUGAAAUUGAUCUCCCCGUGCAGAAGCGGGGCUUCUACCAUAAGACGAGAAGACCCUAUGGAGCUUUAAACAACCAAACGGCCUACCUAGGCUGGUUCCACAUAAUUGGACCGACCCCCAUUGGUGCUACCCCGUUUUAUGUUUUCGGUUGGGGCGACCAUGG